GCCCAGAUAGCUCAGCUGGCAGAGCACAUCCUUGGUAAGGAUGAGGUCAUGGGUUCAAGUCCCAUUCUGGGCUCCA
rnacentral:tRNA from 1 species